rnacentral:lncRNA from 11 species
CAGAGUGAAUAUCACCACUGGAAUAUAGAUCAGACUUCACCAGAUGCUUUUAACUUCAGCUUCCCUCAACUCCGGUUUCAGAAAGCUGGAUUGGAAAAGAAAAAAGGUUGUACCAACGAUGGAAAAACUCUCCUGCAAAAAACAAAAACAAAACAAAAACAAAAACAACUCUCCUGUCUUCUUGAAAAUUCAGCAGGAGUUGCAAGGUGUGAGGAGAAAGUACUACAAUCCUACAAGCAUCUUUGCAAAUUUUGUAUUAAGAAGUCUUUUUACAUAGAUCACACAGAUUUUUAUACCAAAACCAGGGAGAAAUGUAAAGGAGGGAACAAGGAAAGCUAUAGGGGAAAUAGUCUAGAAUCCAGCAGUCACAGUAUGCUAUGGAUCAGGCAUGGGCUAUGGAUCAGGCCCGGGCUGUGGCGCAAGCUGGUGAGUAGCCAGCUGCAGCCAGCUGAGACCAAUCACUCUGACCAAGAGGUCAUGAGUUCGAGGCCAGCUCGGAGCCUGCGUUUGUCUUUGUCUUUGUUCUAUGUCAAGGCAUUGAAUGUUUGCCUUAUAUGUGUAAUGUGAUCCGCCCUGAGUCCCCUUCGGGGUGAGAAGGGCGGAAUAUAAAUACUGUAAAUAAAUAAAUGGGCAAACAUAAGCCCUCCAGGUGUUUUGGACUUCAAUGUCCAAUAGGCUGUUACAGAUUGUGGGAGCUGAAGUCCAAAACACCUGGAGGGUCGAAGUUUCCCCACGCCUGCUAUAUAUGGUGCAUCUAAGGUCCCAUAGUUGGUAUAUUUCAGCCACACAUACAGUAAAUUUGAUUGAGGACCAUAGGAUUUUUUGUCCCAUACAUGUGGAAAGUACCAUGAUUGGGGAAAGCUCUCUGAAGCAUGGUAUCUAACAGUGGCUGGCAUCCUAUAUUGCACAGUAGGAAGGGGAAUGGUAAAGGGCCUGGCGAUGUCCUUAUAGUCAGAUGGAAAUGAAUCACAUCCUCAUCAUCUUUAUUUAUAUCCAAUUUUCACCACACAAUUGGGACUCCAAUUAUCUUACAAUUUAAAAGAAUAAUACAAUUAAAAUAAAAAGUGAACAUUAAAAUAGAAUUAAACCAUUUGUAUCAUAUGCAGAGAUGCCUGGAGAAUCUCAGUAGAAACCAAUAGAUGAUGUAACAAUAAAUUUGUGUGUAGCUAUGGAGACACAGAACAGAUUGCAGAGGGGGAAGAAUUGCAGUGGUUCCAUGGUAGGUUUAUGGGAGCUGGUUGUAGUGGAAGGGAAAUGGAAUCCCAAUCUGUCAUACCCAAGAAAUGGCAUAUGUAGGCAAUAGCUUCAAAGUACAGGAAAAUAGAUUUCACCAUAUCAUUAGGAAAAACUUCCUGAUGGUAAGAGCUGUCUGACAAUGGAAUGUGCUUCCAGUAGGAAUUACCUUCUGUUAAAGCUCUUCACAUGAAUACAAUCUCUCUAUCCUAAAGUGGAAUUCCAAAUUUCAGAAUGUGUUCAGAGUGCUGAUGUGACACCAGCCCUAAGCAGCCUUGAGUGCACAAAACAUUUAUAACUCUCCACCACACCAGAAUACAUAAUGGCUUUAUGGAUAAUGAACCAUAUAUUAGAACCACAUGGCCCCAAUCCAAUAAAGAGUUAAGCAUGCUUCAGCUCAUUGAAAUCAAUGGGCCCAAAGCCCAAAUUAUAUAUCCAUGAGCAUCAGUUUGCUGGGUUUUCUCAACCCACUUCCCAAAGCAGAGCAGGCUGUAACUCAAAUUUGGGGAAGGAGACUAGCAGCUGAAUCCUUUCAUCUCAGGCUGUUUCCAUGCUUAAGGUGUCCUCCCAUGUUGUGGUGAUUAGGUAGCCAUAUCUCUUUCUCUGCAGGAUGGAAAGCAGAUUCUGUAGUGCAACUUAAGCAGAAGAAACUUUCAAGAAGUUCUCCUUUCUCCGGUGUUCACUUUUUGCUCCAAAAUUUAAUUAUGUUUGUGCAGGAAGGAACAUAUUUAAAAAUGACUCGAGAGACCAAAUCCAAUUAGGAAAUACUGAAGGGUUAGAUAAGCACAGCCUGGAAAAGAAAUGAUUAAAUAAGAGAGUAUGACAGACAUAUUUAAAUAACUUAUAGAGCAAAGGCAAGUAUCUCCAGAGUACAAGACCCAACCAAUGGAUGUAGAUUCCAAGAAAAACAAAGAUUAAACAUCCAGAAUAGCUGGCUGAUGGCACAAGCACUUUGAAAGUGGAAAAGUUUGCAUUGGAAAGUGAUUGAAUCUUGUUCAGAUUUUUUAAAGCAGAGGCUUGAUAGCCUCCUAAGUCCUGUAGACAUGAAUUUCCUGCAUUGACAGGAAGCUAGGAUACUUUCUGAAUCUAUGAAUUUACA